CAGCAGCCACGGUAAUACGGAGGGUGCAAGCGUUAUCCGGAUUCACUGGGUUUAAAGGGUGCGUAGGUGGGCAGGUAAGUCAGUGGUGAAAUCUCCGGGCUUAACCCGGAAACUGCCGUUGAUACUAUCUGUCUUGAAUAUAGUGGAGGUGAGCGGAAUAUGUCAUGUAGUGGUGAAAUGCUUAGAUAUGACAUAGAACACCCAUUGCGAAGGCAGCUCGCUACACUAUUAUUGACACUGAGGCACGAAAGCGUGGGGAUCAAACAGGAUUAGAUACCCCCGUAGUCCCUGUCUCUUAUAC
rnacentral:rRNA from 1 species